UACGUAGGGUGCAAGCGUUGUCCGGAAUUAUUGGGCGUAAAGAGCUCGUAGGCGGCUUGUCGCGUCGGCUGUGAAAACCUGCGGCUCAACUGCAGGCUGGCGGUCGAUACGGGCAGGCUGGAGUUCGGUGAGGGAGACUGGAAUUCCUGGUGUAGCGGUGAAAUGCGCAGACUAUCAGGAGGAACACCGGUGGCGAAGGCGGGUCUCUGGGCCGAUACUGACGCUGAGGAGCGAAAGCGUGGGGAGCGAACAGG
rnacentral:rRNA from 1 species